rnacentral:rRNA from 1 species
GACGAACGCUGGCGGCGUGCUUAACACAUGCAAGUCGAGCGGAGCGGCGAACGGGUGAGUAACGCGUGAGUAACUGCCCCCCUCCCUGGGAUAAAAGUUGGAAACGGCUGCUAAUACCGGAUAGUGGGGGAUGACUCGCGUCCUAUCAGCUUGUUGGUGGGGUAGUGGCCUAACAAGGCGACGACGGGUAGCCGGCCUGAGAGGGCGACCGGCCACAUGGGUCUACGAUACGGCCCAAACUCCUACGGAGGGCAGCAGGGGGGAAUAUUGCGCAGUGGGGGAAACCCUAAUGCAGAAACGCCGCGUGCGUGAUGUCGUCUUUCGGGUUGUAAACCGCUUUCAGCCAUGACGCGGUAGUGGCAGAAGAAGCACCGGCUAACUACGUGCCAGCAGCCGCGGUAAUUC